CCCUCAUGGCAUGUAGUGUCCAGCGGUGCAGGAGGAGGUCUGUGGCCAGUCACCGCCAUCGUCUGUCAGGUUCCUACAAUAUAGGAUCUGCUCAGUGGAGAUCUUCUAUAUAAGAUCCUUCUCCUGAUUGACCCGUCAAGGAUGGAUAGGAACAGGGACAAGAUGGCGGAGAGUAUGAUAAAUCUCACCCUAGAGAUCCUCUUCUGGCUUACUGGAGAGGACUACAUAGUCGUGAAGAAGACAUCUAGUGAGCGCUGUCAGGACCCUGUGUCUGAAG